CCUCAGAGAAAAAAAUUAAUAAAUGUAACAUAAAAGAGUUGCCAAUUGCGAGACAAAAUUAUUAAUUGUCCAAUACUUUUGCACGUGGAAAGUCACGUGUGCACACUGCCAAAGUUGGCAAUGGCAAUUGGCAUGCCCACUUUAGUUGGACGGACGCCGUGACUUGCUCCACGGCUCCACCCUCUUUCUCGGCCCCGCAUUUAACGCCACCACUUUUGGACCCCUUGGUGGUCACCAGUGUCAUUGAAACCUAGCGCUAUCGCGAUUCCCACGGAC
rnacentral:lncRNA from 1 species